rnacentral:lncRNA from 1 species
GUUCUAUCAAAAGUUUGUUCGGCAUUAUGACAAUAAUUUACAUAGUCACAUGAGUCACAAUCCGCCUUUACGAAUCUAAAGAAAACUAUGACAACAACUAUAGUUUUGCAACUACUUGAUUUAUCGACACCUUUUGUUGUUGAAACUGAUGCGUCCAUUAUGGCAAUGAGGGUAGUUCUCUCUCAAAAAGGGCAUCCUCUAGCUUACUUCAGUAAGAAGAUGUCCACCAGGAUGUAACACUCCUCUGCUUAUGUCCGGGAAAUGUUUGAUGUGAUCGAGUCUGUUAAGAAAUGGAGACAAUACUUGUUAGACAAACAAUUUACAAUAUAUAUUGAUUAACAAAGUUUGAGACACUUGAUGACUCAAGGGUUUUACACACCAGAACAGCAAAAAUGGGCAACAAAAUUAAUUGGAUUUUAGUAUGUUAUCAAGUAUAUGACAAAUACCUCGAAUCGGGUUGCAGAUGCCUUAUCUCGAUGUAGUGAGGACAUACCCAUCAUGGAAGCCUUGUCAUCCCCAUUUCCUAAGCUUAUUGACCGCUUAAUGUUAGGUAUCAGUAGACAGAACAUAUCUAGAGGGGGGUUGAAUAGGUGUCGCGGUUACCAAUUACCGCUUUUUGCACCAAAGCCGUAUUCUGGAAAAAGCCUCAGUUAAUCGAUUAACACCCUGUCUUAAUCGAUUAACUCACAGAAAACAACAAGAUAUGGAAUGGCUUAUUGCACAACCACUCACCGAUAUUCAGAUACAGAUAAAUCAUAUAUAUUUGAGCAGAAUUAAACUAGAUAUAGCAAAUUUACAGUAUCCAAAAUAUCAACUAAUAUUAGGCAAUUAAUACAACUUGAAAUGUAAAGAGAUUAUGGAUAGAAAAAGCCUACAACAAGGAAUUUUAUCCUAGUUCGUUUGCGGGUCCACUUGCAAACUACAUCUAGGCCUCCCCUUCUGAUCUUGGGAGAUUUUCUUCACUAAUAUUGAAACGAAUGUAUUGUUACAUGCAAACUUCCAAUACACAAACUUAGACGCUCCCUUCUUGAAUCCAAGAACUCACUUUCUUGGUUUGACUCUCCUAAUCGCCUAAGAAAACCUUUCUUAUGAUCUAUCCCCAGCCAAGAAAACGUUCUAAACUCAAGACCUCUAAGUCUUGGUGAAGACUCACUGAAUCUCUUAGGUGGUAAGAACCCAAGAGACGACUUCCCUUAUUACAACACAAAAACAGUAUGAAAACAUAGUAUUAUAAAGCACAAUUUAGCUCAAAAUAUUACAAUUGAAACUCAGCUAAAAAACCUAUACAAAACUCACAAGUUAACAUGAAUAUGUAUGAGUUCAUUAAUAUGCAGAAACAAAGAAUUUUUAUCCUAAAAUUCUUAUAAAGAAAUGCAAGAAUCAUGCAAGAAAAGAUAUCAAAGUUUAACACAUUAUCCACAUGCAAUUUGAUGACAAUUAAACCCUAAGCAUGAUACUAUAUCUCACUAUCUCACAAUGCAUAUCACUCUACCUAUAUGACACAAUUAAGCACGAAAAAUAUGCAAAUAACAGUUCUAAAAAUGAAUGAUAUGAUGUAUGGUGCAUGACCUAAAAACACACUUUAUAUAGAAAACCUUUCCGAGACCCAGUUAAUCGAUUAAGUGCCCUUUUAAUCGAUUAACGGGCUGUUGAGAAUAACUGUUUUUAGGUUUUCAGUUAUCUGUUAAAACUGAAUUCACAUUAAUCGAUUAAUACCUUCCUUAAUCGAUUAACUGACAUGUUUUUCAGCUAAAUGAUUAAAUGGUAAACUACUUGUAUGUUAUGCUUAUCAACUAUACAUGUUUUACCAAUAUAUUAUGCUUAAGAUGCACAAGUAACACGUAUAAUUAAUGCAUGAACAUAUAAUAAUCUAGAUGACAUGUCUCAUGUAAAUGAAUUGAUUAUUUUUAAGGCUUGUGAGAAUUGCAUCUAAGUUUACCUAACCUAGACUCAAUAUCUAAGAUACACAUCUAAGACUCUAAAAAUGGCUCUUGUAAGGAACCUAGUCUAGACAUGAAACCCUUGAGUCCACAAUAUGUUGAUUUUUUGAGUCAUCUUCAAGCUUUCACUAAAUCCUUGUCUUCAUCAAAACAUAUGCAAUCUAAUAGUGCUACACUUUGCACUUUCACCUACGAUAAUAUUUUACCUCACUAGAAAGGCAUGCCAUUAUCAAGAAACAUGAAUCAAAACACAAUGAGCGCAUGCAAUACCAUUUUUCACAAGGCUUAUUGUUCAAUAAGGGAUGAAUUUUUAUACCUAAUCCAUGAAUAUCAUGAUACUCCGAUAGUAGGUCACUCGGGUUGGAAGGCCACCCUAGUCAAACUAUCGGUUACUUCCUCUUGGCUAGGCAUCACUAAGCAUGUUAAGCUUUUUGUCCGCCAAUGUGCUUUCUACCAAUCCAACAAGUACUCGCCCAAGAAAUACCAAGGCAUGUUACAACCACUACAAAUUCCAGAAAAAGUAUGGGAGGAUCUAUCCAUGGAUUUUGUGACACAUACCAAUGUCCAUGGGUAUACUGUGAUAUGGGUCAUUAUGGACAGACUCACCAAAUAUGUCCAUCUUAUUGCCCUUCCAACAAAGUUUACAACCGAGAGCCUAGCUCAUCGAUUUCUCAACGAAAUAUGUCACCUUCAUGGGGUUCCCAAGACGAUUGUCUCAGAUUGUGAUAAGAUAUUCCUAAGUGCCUUUUGGAAGGAAUUGUUCAAACUGUUAGGCACUACACUAUGCUACAGUAUAACAUAUCAUCCUCAAUCGGAUGGUCAAACAAAGGUAGUAAAUAAGGGGUUGCAGAUUUACCUUCAGUGCAUCACAGGCUCUCACCCAAAAAGUGGUUCACUUGUUUGUCGUUAGCUAGGUUCUGAUACAACACCAGUCACCAUUCGACCAUUCAAUUAUCUCCCUUUGAGGCCUUGUACGACCAAGCUCUUCCCAGCCUCAAAUACUAUAUGCCCGACACAACAACUAACACAUAGAUAUCUUUACCCUAACACAAAGACUAUAUGCCCAACCUCAAAGACUAUAUGGCACCUUGCAUCAAAGAGUCGAGUUAUUAUCUGAUCAUAAACAACAUUUGACACAUGAACAAAUGAGAAUGAAAUCACAAGCCGAUACAAAGAGAAGUGAUAUUACCUUUACCCUAGGGGGUUGGGUCUUGUUAUGGUUACAAUUGUAUCGCCAACAGUCUGUUUUCUGAAGGCCAUCCAAGAAUCUUUCUCGCUGAUACUUCGGGCCAUUCAAGGUUGUGAAACGAAUAUGACAAUUUGCUUAUGCACUGGCCUUACCAACUCAGUCACGGGUUGACCCCGUCUUUCACGACUCUGCCUUGCGGUGUUUCCAUGACCAACCGCUUGAGACUGCCAUGGAGUUACCACCAGGUUUUGAGAUAUCGCUGCCUGAGCUAGACGGCCCCGCCUAGAACACUCUUGAAGAAGGUGAAGACAUGGGCAUAAGGACAACACUCGAGAACUAGAUGGUUGGACAUGAGGAGGCCCAUCUUCUUGUGACGGGUUAUGAAAACACAGUGGUGGGUGAUGAAAACUCUCCCUCACUGAUUGAAAUGGGUAGAUAUGAUGAGGGACAUGUUGAAAAAAAUGUGAAGAUAUUGGAAGAGUUCAGAAAGAUAAAGGAUGAGAAAAAGAGGGAGAGUGCGGUUCCCUAGGGAGAAAAUGAGG